UAAAUACCAUCGCGCUGGGGGUUAGGGCUUCAACAUAUGAAUAUUGCGGGGACACAGACAUUCAAUCCAUAAUAGCAAGUUUCAGUGGAUUUCAGAAGCCCCUAAGGCAGAAAAGCAAAAGCACCUUAUUUUUUGUCCACUUGACCUGUGUCUUAUGUUGGACUGAAAUGUAGGUCUCCUAAUUUUAGUGUAGUUUUGUAUAUUUCUCCCUAUAUAUCUUUAACUUUCUGAUAUAUAAAGGUGUGAAUCAUGUUUUUUGUUUCUUGAUCUCUGCGGUUUUUUCAAGUACGCGUAUUCAUUUUGUGAAAAUUCAAUGAGCUCUACACUUUAUAUGUGC
rnacentral:lncRNA from 10 species